rnacentral:rRNA from 1 species
AACGAACGCUGGCGGCAUGCCUAACACAUGCAAGUCGAACGAGAUCUUCGGGUCUAGUGGCGCACGGGUGCGUAACGCGUGGGAAUCUGCCCUUUGGUUCGGAAUAACAGUUGGAAACGACUGCUAAUACCGGAUGAUGACGAAAGUCCAAAGAUUUAUCGCAGAGGUGGAGACGGCGUAGGAUUAGCUAGUAGGUGUGGUAAAGGCGCACCAAGGCGACGAUCCUUAGCUGGUCGGAGAGGAUGAUCAGCCACACUGGGACUGAGACACGGCCCAGACUCCUACGGGAGGCAGCAGUGGGGAAUAUUGGACAAUGGGCGAAAGCCUGAUCCAGCAAUGCCGCGUGAGUGAUGAAGGCCUUAGGGUUGUAAAGCUCUUUUACCCGGGAUGAUAAUGACAGUACCGGGAGAAUAAGCUCCGGCUAACUCCGUGCCAGCCGCCGCCGUAA